rnacentral:rRNA from 1 species
AGGGUGUAAACGCUGCAGACUUGGUGUUGGAAGUCCUUUGGGGGCAUUCAGUGCCGGAGAGAAGUUGUUAAGUCUGCUACUUGGGGAGUACGUCCGCAAGGAUGAAACUUAAAGGAAUUGGCGGGGGGAGGCACCGCAACGGGAGGAGCGUGCGGUUUAAUUGGAUUCAACACCGUAAAACUCACCAGGGAAGACUGUUACAUGAAGGCCGAGAUGAAGACUCUGCUAGAUUUUUCAGAGAGGAGGUGCAUGGCGUCAGUGACU